AUUGAACGCUGGCGGCAGGCCUAAUACAUGCAAGUCGAGCGAGCGGCGGACGGGUGAGUACUGUAUGGGGACUGCCCGUUACAGGGGGAUCAGUACUGGAAACGGUAGCUAAUACCGCACACUAUCGAAUCACCCAUAUGGGAUUAGCUAGUGGGUGAGGUAAUGGCUCACCUAGGCGACGAUCCCUACCUGGUCUGAGAGGAUGAUCAGCCACACUGGGACUGAGACACGGCCCAGACUCCUACGGAGGCAGCAGUGGGGAAUAUUGCACAAUGGGCGCAAGCCUGACGCAGCCAUGCCGCGUGUAUGAAGAAGGCCCUAGGGUUGUAAAGUACUUUCAGUCGGGAGGCGGUACCGAAAGAAGAAGCACCGGCUAACUCCGUGCCAGCAGCCGCGGUAAUAC
rnacentral:rRNA from 1 species